UACGUAGGGCGCAAGCGUUAUCCGGAAUUAUUGGGCGUAAAGAGCUCGUAGGCGGUUUGUCGCGUCUGCCGUGAAAGUCCGGGGGCUCAACUCCGGAUCUGCGGUGGGUACGGGCAGACUAGAGUGAUGUAGGGGAGACUGGAAUUCCUGGUGUAGCGGUGAAAUGCGCAGAUAUCAGGAGGAACACCGAUGGCGAAGGCAGGUCUCUGGGCAUUAACUGACGCUGAGGAGCGAAAGCGUGGGGAGCGAACAGG
rnacentral:rRNA from 1 species